rnacentral:rRNA from 1 species
UACGUAGGGGGCAAGCGUUAUCCGGAUUCACUGGGUUUAAAGGGUGCGUAGGAGGGCAGGUAAGUUCAGUGGUGAAAUCUUCGAGCUUAACUCGGAAACUGCCGUUGAUACUAUCUGUCUUGAAUACCGUGGAGAUGAGCGGAAUAUGUCAUGUAGCGGUGAAAUGCUUAGAUAUGACAUAGAACACCAAUUGCGAAGGCAGCUCGUUACACGAAUAUUGACUCUGAGGCACGAAAGCGUGGGGAUCAAACAGG